UACGUAGGGUGCGAGCGUUGUCCGGAAUUAUUGGGCGUAAAGAGCUCGUAGGCGGUGUGUCGCGUCGGCCGUGAAAACCUGGGGCUUAACUCUGGGCGUGCGGUCGAUACGGGCAUCACUGGAGUUCGGCAGGGGAGACUGGAAUUCCUGGUGUAGCGGUGAAAUGCGCAGAUAUCAGGAGGAACACCGGUGGCGAAGGCGGGUCUCUGGGCCGAUACUGACGCUGAGGAGCGAAAGCCAGGGGAGCAAACAGG
rnacentral:rRNA from 1 species